CAGGCCUAAAAAGGAAUAAUGAGGCGAGGCUCAAUGAGAGGGAACCCCUCGGCUAAAGACCUCAAUCCCAAGAAGAAUAAAGACAGGGUGUCGGAGAUUUCAGACCCAGGGAGCUUGCUGGGGAAGAGGUAGGAGAUCCUAACCUUAGGGAGAGAAAGGGGCGAGGGGUGAAGUCAACAACAUCAGAGGAAAAGAGAGGACCCCUUUCCUCCCCUCAAAUCCGUGGGAAGAAGAACAGCCAGCCCUACGGAGAGGGGAAGAGCAUGAACACAGCCCCCCAAUACCACAAAUUAUGCAGUCAAGUUUCCCACAUUUGGGGAAAUCUCAGGGGCCAGCACACCAUGAAUGCAACCACAUUCAUGAUCGUGGUAUCUCCUCUACCAGGAACCCCGGACAAGGAGCACAUGGCCGACCUGGCUCUAGCAGCCCAAGCCCUCUGAGCUCCCAGAAUGCCACGUUCAGGCACAGGAGGUGUCCUUUCAGCCAUGCCUUUGCUGAAUGAUGGACUCAUCACUCCCUCCCCUCAAACUUUGAGAUGAGCCUGCCUGACCUUCCCUCCUCCUUAAAAGGGUUAAAAUCCAAUGACGCAGUGACACAUCACCUAUGUCAGGACAGAAUCUUUUCAGACCAGACUGGGCCUUCCCGAAG